CGUUUUACUUUGCUAUUCCUUAUUUUCACUAACGCUCCAUUGAUAUUUCAUAAAUUUCAAUAAUUAUAUUAAUAAUUUCAGUCAACUUCUUUUAUCGAUAUGUCUUUAAGUUCACACUGUCAAUGACACAUUACUACUGUAACGCAUCACUCUCCUGGUUUAAUUAUUCAUGCUUUCUGUUGACGGUCCGUCACUCUUCUGGUUGGUCUUGAUUGAUGUUUUCUCUGAUUGGAAUGACAUUGACAGCUCAGGCGAGAGGUGGGGUCGUAACUUAUUUAGUCGGUACUGCAUCCAUUUUUCGAGGACUUGUUCCCGUGUCGCAGGUAGAAGCGCACGUAAAAGGCCAGUUUUUUAUUUCCGAAAUGUGUGAAGCAGGAAGUGGCCAAUAUGGUUUAUAAUUUAUAGUCCUUAAUCUUGUUCCUUUAGGGAACUGUUUAUUUCAUAAUUCUGGUGCAGGAUGCCCGAGAUUUUGAUGGAUAGAUAAUGAAACUUAGCAAGGGUUUUACUUUUCCGUUUUCCUCUUUAUUCGUCUUCAAUUGUUGAUGGCUGCAGGAUUUUGAUUUCCCCGAGAAAUUGCUAUAAGCUGUGGAGCUGGAGCCAGAGUUAGGGCUAGUAUUAGAGAUUCCCAGUCCAGAUAGCUAAGCUACAAAUGGCAUACAUUCACAGCCUCGAUUUUGAAGGCUAGCCGUUCAUUUCUUGGAGGAAUAUACAGCCAGUCAUAAGUGAACCUUCGAACAAUCCCAAGCCUCCAAUAAUUCUGAGCUACCGUCUGCAAACUCUUGGCAAAAUAGUAACACUGUAAAGUUAACGCCACAAAGGAUUAGAAUGUGUAUCAGG